AUUAGAUAAACUGUUGAUGUUGUUUUGUCGUGCCGUGAAUCGGUGACACAAAAGUAAAUAUUCAGCAUGGAAACUCGCGAUGUUAAAAGAUUUCACACGCAAAAUAAAGUAAUUGAGGUAAAAGAAAAAAGUAAUGUAGAUGAAUUUUGUCAUUUUGAAGAAGAAAAAACUGAAGAUAUUGAAACUUGCUAUCAGUAUAAUUUGUGUAAAGAAGAAUUUAAGUCAGAAUCUGAUUUAGAAAAACACAAUGAAGUACAUGUUAAUGUAGAUGAUAUAGAUGAAUAUUGUCAUGUUAAAGAAGAGAUGACUGAAGAUAUUGAUCCAAUUUAUCAGUGCAAUUUAUGUGAUGAAGAAUUUAAAUCUGACACUGAUUUAGAGAAACACUGUGAAGUACAUCAUAAAUUAGAGUUCAGUUCUUGUAAUAGUAGUGAGUUGAAAGCAUGUAGCGAUGUUUGUAGUAAAUCAAUCAUCACAAAUGAUGUUCUACAGCAACACAUUACAGUUCAUACUGGGGCAAAACCUUAUAAAUGUGAUGUUUGUGAUAAAUCAUUUUACCGUAAUAACACUCUACAAAAACAUAUUAGAAUUCAUACUGGUGAAAAACCUUUUAUAUGUAUUGUUUGUGGUAAAUCAUUUUACAAUAUUAGUGCUCUACACCAACACAUUAGAAGUCAUAGUGGAGAUAAACCUUAUGAAUGUGAUGUUUGUGGAAAAUCAUUUUCUAGACGUGCAGAUCAACAGCGUCACACAAGAAAACAUACGGGUGAAAAACCUUAUAAGUGUGAUGUUUGUAGUAAAUCAUUCACUGAAAAUGGUAAUCUACAGUCACACAUUAGAAGCCAUAGUGGUGAAAAACCUUAUCAGUGUGAUGUUUGUGAUAAAUUAUUCACACGGUCUGGAACCCUAAACAAGCACAUAAAAAUUCAUACUGAAGAAAAACCCUAAAAAUGUGAUGUUUGUAGUAAAUCAUUUUCUGAAUAUGGUAAUCUACAAAAGAACUCAUUCUGAGGAAAUACCAUAUAAAUGUGAUGUUUGUAGUAAAUCAUUCACUGAAAGACAUACUCUACAGAACCACAGGAGAAGGGGGGUUGGAUGGCCGAUUGGUUAGCAUGUGCGCGCUGCGCCGUAUCAUAGGGUCUGUCAUUGAGUCAACUGGCGGGGUUUCGAUUCCCCGUUUGUACGUGACAAGGAGUAGGGUCCCCUGUCCAACCUCGUGGAUUUUCUCCGGGUCCUCCGGUUUCCUCCCACUGCUAAAGAACCCUACGCCCAAGCAAAAUUAUUGAAAUAAAAUGUGUUAGUCCCGAAAUGACAUAGUUUGUGUCGAGUGGACGUUAAACCCCAUUUUCUCUCUCUCUCACCACAGGAGAUAACCCUUAUAAAUGUGAUGUUUGUAGUAAAUCAUUCAUCAGAAAUUGUAAUCUACAGAGACACUUUAGAAUUCAUACAGUAGGGUGACCCACCAUAAAUAAAUAUCUCCAAAUAUCUCGACAAUUACGCCACAAUAUUUAUAUACAUACCAGGCCUUAAAUCAGUUUCACACAAUUAUAGUCACUAAAUAAACGAUCAUGUUGUACUUAAUAAGCUAUGACCAUUUAAUGAUCUAUAAAUAAUAGACUGAAACUGGUUCCAAGUUUCGUCCAUAACAUCCAGACACUUUUGAGUAAAAGAUAGGUUGCAGUGUACCGACCAUUCUACGUCUGAUUGACAGGUCGGGAUAAUCAAGACGCCCUUUUUACGAAACAUAACAGAAAGCUGGAACAAGAAAUUGAAUUUAGAAAAAUUCACGUUAGCUAGCUCAACAAUUGUUUUAAGAAGCUUGUAAAAGUAAAAUGAAACUACUGCUAGUAUCAUGUUCCUGCUAACAAAAGUGAUUCAGAGAUAUUAUUUGUACUAAACCAAAAGAUGCCGCUCUCAACGGUACAGUUAAUGAUGUAGCAAAUUAAAAAAUAAAACGAACGGAAUUUCCAAAUCUGCUGUAAUAACCAAGAAGCUUAAUUUUACUGCUAUUCAAAAUCGUCAACAAUAAAAUUUUUACGGCUGUAAUAGUUGAUAGAUUUGUAGAGAAUUGCACGUGCCAUGGCUAUUUAUAGUAUCAUACUGUCAGAAAGUUGGUCUCGACACGGCUAAUGUGCACACUUCAGUGGUAGUCUCGAACUAUCAGCGGUGGACUGUAUUUCUGUAGAGUGCAUGGGUCACCCUACAUACAGGAGAAAAACCAUAUCUAAGAAUUUUAACCUACAAUUUAAUGCGAUAACUCAUGGAGAAAAAACCUUUCAAAUGUGUCAGUUAUAGUAAAUCAUUUGCUCAUCGAAACCACACCACAUGACUCGAUGUCAGUGGUGAAGGACGGAGAGUCUUGCAAGGAAUUGUAUCUAGUAGUUGAAAUGAAAUGAAAUGAAAUGGGGUUUAACGUCCUACUCUUCUGCACCUAACCUGGGCUAAUUGAAGACGGGCAUACGCCAUACAGUGUGCUAUGAGGGAAAUUUUGCCCGGGCAGCGCCGCUACGGCCUACUCUUAUAUCGAAUUCCAACUGCCAAGGGAUCUUUUACGUGCACGCCAAUGUGUACAUGAUACCUCGGUUUUUCGUCCCAUCCGAACGACUAGGCAGUGGUGAAGGACGGAGAGUCUUGCAAGGAAUUGUAUCUAGUAGGUCAUGAAAAACAUUGGCAUACACAUACAAGAGAGAGAGAAACAUAUGGUUUAAUUUUAUACCAAUAAUUCUCUUGCGCUUAGGGGUCUUUAGCAGUGGGAGGAAACCAGAGGACCUGGUGAAAACCCACAAGGGCGGACAGGCGUCCCUAUUUCUUGUCACAUACAACCGGGAAUUCAAAACCACACCGGUUGACUCAGUGACAGGCCUUAUGAUACAGUGCAUACUUGCUAACCAUUCGGCCAUCCAUCCACUCUCCCCACCCCCACACGUACAAGAACCCUAGACUGUGACCUCAAUCUGAAUAAGAUACAGAUCUAUAUUUCGUUUCGUUUUUUAUACUUUCAAUGGCCUACAUUAUAUGAAGACCUGACAAGUUAUAGUAGAAGGUCACGUCAGGGGUCAUACGAGUGGUUUUUGACCCUAUGACAUAAGACAUUAACCCCUUAACUGCGUAGUUUUCAAAACGUUAACUACCCCCUAUUGCGUAAUUAAUUUGACGAUAAACGUCAUUUUGGACCUUUUCGUUCCUGAAUACAAAAUUUGGUAGUCUGAAACCAAAUUAAAACUAACGGUAAAUAGAGUUGUCUUCCUUCAAUUAGAUUUCCUCGACCAGGCGUAAUAUAACGUCUUAAACAUGCUGCGAUCGUGUUCGAAGAAUAGGUUGGGGAAAAUACCUCCAGGACGUUAUAUUACGUCCUACACACGGUAAGUGGCAGUUGUCUGGGACAUUAUAUAACGCCCUACGCAGUUAACGGAUUAAUUAAUCAAUCAGUGUUGACGUUUCUAGUGGUCUACCCACAAGACCGUGCAUCACACGCUAAGAACUCACCGUAACAGACUGUUACAUACCUUAUUCCUCACAUCAACCAGAAUGCGGGUUAUAUAACAACUCUUCUAGACAAGGAAAACGCAAUUUUGAAUUAUUAAAAACGAAAUGUAAUAGGAUCUGUGUUUUAAUGAGAUUAACGCGGCCUGGAACGUUUCCGAGAAUUUAUCAUGACCAACUCUAAACGACCAAUAGUAAAUGAUAUUACGGACAGGUUGAUUUAAUUAAGAUCAUUUACAUAUUAAAGCUGCAAGUUCAUCCCGAUUUUCCGGCGUGGUACUCCCUUGUCAGUGAUGCAGGACGGAGGGGCUGACAAGGAAAGCUGUCUAGUCGUUCGGAUGGGACGAAAAACCGAGGUCCCGUGUACACAUUGGCGUGCACGUAAAAGAUCCCUUGGCAGUUGGAAUUCGAUAUAAGAGUAGGUCGUAGUGCCGCUGUCAGGGCAAAAUUUCCCUCAUAGCACACUGUAUGGCAUAUGCCCGUCUUCAUUAGCCCAGGUUAGGAGCAGAACAGUAGGACGUUAAACUCCAUUUCAUUUCAUUUUUGUUAAAGAAUAAUCCUAUUAAUCCUAUAAUUCACUAUUGCCAGUUGAGAAAUUGGCAAAAAUAUAAUUUUCAACUUUAAAUUCAAACGUUUGAAGAUAGCUAUUCCAUGGGGGGAAUAGAAAAACAAGGGAGGUAAUUGUGUUAUUAUUUCCGGGGUCAAAGGAUUUUUAAGAUGGAGAAUAAUACCUAUAAUCGUAUAAUAGUGAGUUGACAACCUAUUGAGCAAAAGACACAGAAAUAAUUAUGUUUUGACUUUCUCAGAAAAUAUGAAAUUAUCGCUUUAAGGAAUAGAUAUGUAAUCACAUGAAAUAUAUAUAUAUAUAUGAACCUGUAAUCGCAUGAAAUAAAGAUAUAUAUGAACCUGUAAUCACAUGAAAUAUAGAUAUAUAUGAACCUGUAAUCGGAUGAAAUAUAGAUGUAUAUGAACCUGUAAUCACAUGAAAUAAAGAUAUAUAUGAACCUGUAA